rnacentral:tRNA from 1 species
GCUGCUGUGGCCCAAUUGGUAGGAGGCGCCUGGUUGAGGUCCAGGUAGAGUUUUCAUCUCUUGUGCCGGUUCGAGUCCGGUCAGCAGCA